rnacentral:rRNA from 1 species
UACGUAGGGUGCAAGCGUUGUCCGGAAUUAUUGGGCGUAAAGAGCUCGUAGGCGGUCUGUCGCGUCGGCUGUGAAAACUCGGGGCUCAACUCCGAGCUUGCAGUCGAUACGGGCAGGCUAGAGUUCGGCAGGGGAGACUGGAAUUCCUGGUGUAGCGGUGAAAUGCGCAGAUAUCUGGAGGAACACCAAUGGCGAAGGCAGCUCGCUGGGACGGUACUGACGCUGAGACGCGAAAGCGUGGGGAGCAAACAGG